rnacentral:rRNA from 1 species
UCUCAGUUCGGAUUGGAGCUGCAACUCGACUCCAUGAAGCUGGAUUCGCUAGUAAUCGCGCAUCAGCCAUGGCGCGGUGAAUACGUUCCCGGGCCUUGUACACACCGCCCGUCAAGCCAUGGAAGCCGGGAGUGCCUGAAGUGUGCAACCGCAAGGAGCGCCCUAAGGUAAAAACUGGUGACUGGGGCUAAGUCGUAACAAGGUACC